GGUGUGGUCAUACACGAUAUAGACGUGCGUCUGAAGAAGGAUGACUGUGAUUAUUAAUGGGUACUUGAUGUGGCCUGAACGCUGUAGACUUGAACUGUUAAAUCGGACCCUGAUGCGUAAUAUAACCAAAUGCAUUCAUAAUACGUUUCAGAAGAGUGAUUAUUGGAUUAUUGCUGUAGACACAAAUGUUUGGAGUUCAAGCAUAGACAAGGGGGUUGUUUUGUGCUCUUGAGAGGCCUAGGGCAGUAGCUAUUUAAAUAGGCGUUCCUUACCUCAUUUCAGCCCGAAUGUAGUGGAUAGCUUGCGCAGUGGAUGGAGUGCAACUUUUUAUCGCUUAUAGGCAUUUUAGUAGUGAAUGUUUUUUAUUGUAUUAUGGAGCUGCCUGUAUCUAAACCAUACACUGACCUUAACCACACAGCGGUUAUUAUCUAACCGUAACCCUUCUAGGUUAUUGCAUCCUAAGUCAUAACGUUUGCAGAUGUCGGAUAAAUGCCAAGAACAGAAGUGUGCUUGUGAGAUCAAGAUGGUAUGCAACCAGCCAAAUGUACCUGGAUUUUUUUUUGAGAUUCCAAUAGACCUAGUACACAAGGCCACAAAAAUGGAUGAUAACCCUAACCCUAAUUCGCUACACUGGUGUCAGAAGUGGGAUGGCAGCCAUGGGAGAGUUGUCGUUUGAUCUUCAUGUCAACCCUAUGCAUUACGGAGCUGACGGCUGGGGUCUGAUUGACACAAUGAGUUGUCAUCGCCGUCGUGCAGGGCCUACCCCUGUGAAAACACAGCUCUCCGCGGGGGGUCGCCAGCUUUCGGACAGGACUACUUAACGGCCUUCAUAUAAUUAUUAACAAACCACCGUGUGGCUACAGCUCCAUAAAUGUCAACUCCGAAAGUGGAGUUGAUGCAUUGUGGACUGGACUCUCAUCUCCGUGAACUACAUGGUUUGAAACAACAUUAACAUGUGUCUGAGAGCGACUCGUGACAGGCUGUUUAGGGGGGUUUGGUAAUUACAGCCGAGAUGGUUGAGGCUGCAGUCAUGGGGUUCACCGGAG
rnacentral:lncRNA from 1 species